rnacentral:rRNA from 1 species
ACGAACGCUGGCGGCGUGCUUAACACAUGCAAGUCGAACGGAAAGGCCCUGCUUUUGUGGGGUGCUCGAGUGGCGAACGGGUGAGUAACACGUGAGUAACCUGCCCUUGACUUUGGGAUAACUUCAGGAAACUGGGGCUAAUACCGGAUAGGAGCCCCUGCUGCAUGGUGGGGGUUGGAAAGUUUCGGCGGUUGGGGAUGGACUCGCGGCUUAUCAGCUUGUUGGUGGGGUAGUGGCUUACCAAGGCUUUGACGGGUAGCCGGCCUGAGAGGGUGACCGGCCACAUUGGGACUGAGAUACGGCCCAGACUCCUACGGGAGGCAGCAGUGGGGAAUAUUGCACAAUGGGCGGAAGCCUGAUGCAGCAACGCCGCGUGCGGGAUGACGGCCCUCGGGUUGUAAACCGCUUUCGCCUGUGACGAAGCGUGAGUGACGGUAAUGGGUAAAGAAGCACCGGCUAACUACGUG